rnacentral:rRNA from 1 species
UACGGGGGGAGCAAGCGUUGUUCGGAUUUACUGGGCGUAAAGGGCGCGUAGGCGGCGUAACAAGUCACUUGUGAAAUCUCCGGGCUUAACUCGGAACGGUCAAGUGAUACUGUCGUGCUAGAGUGCGGAAGGGGCAACUGGAAUUCUUGGUGUAGCGGUGAAAUGCGUAGAUAUCAAGAGGAACACCUGCGGCGAAGGCGGGUUGCUGGGCCGACACUGACGCUGAGGCGCGAAAGCUAGGGGAGCGAACGGG